CCUACGGGCGGCAGCAGUGAGGAAUAUUGGUCAAUGGGCGUAAGCCUGAACCAGCCAAGUAGCGUGAGGGAUGAAGGUUCUAUGGAUCGUAAACCUCUUUUAUAAGGGAAUAAAAUGUUGGACGUGUCCUGUUUUGUAUGUACCUUAUGAAUAAGGAUCGGCUAACUCCGUGCCAGCAGCCGCGGUAAUACGGAGGAUCCGAGCGUUAUCCGGAUUUAUUGGGUUUAAAGGGUGCGUAGGUGGACUUUUAAGUCAGCUGUGAAAGUCUGUGGCUCAACCAUAGAAUUGCCGUUGAAACUGGCAGUCUUGAGUAUGUUAGAGGCAGGCGGAAUUCGUGGUGUAGCGGUGAAAUGCUUAGAUAUCACGCAGAACCACGAUUGCGAAGGCAGCCUGCUAAGCCAUGACUGACGCUGAGGCACGAAAGCGUGGGUAUCAAACAGGAUUAGAUACCCUAGUAGUC
rnacentral:rRNA from 1 species